rnacentral:tRNA from 1 species
GGACCACUAGCUCAGUUGGUUAGAGCAAACGGCUCAUAACCGUUCGGUGACAGGUUCGAGUCCUGUGUGGUCCA